rnacentral:rRNA from 1 species
GACGAACGCUGGCGGCGUGCUUAAUACAUGCAAGUCGAACGGAAAGGCGCUGCUUUUGCGGGGUGCUCGAGUGGCGAACGGGUGAGUAACACGUGAGUAACCUGCCCUUGACUUUCGGAUAACUUUACGAAACUGGGGCUAAUACCGGAUAUGAUCUCCUGCUGCAUGGUGGGGGAUGGAAAGAUUCGGCGGUUGUGGAUCGUUUGGCGGGUUCUCCGCUUGAUUGGGGGGUAGGGGCUUUACAAGGCUUCGAGGGGUAGCCGGCCUUAGAGGGUGACCGGCCACAAGGGGACUGAGAGACGGCCCAGAAGCCUACGGGAGGCAACAGGGGGGAGUAUUGCACAGUGGCCGGAAGCCUGAUGCAGCAACGCCGGGUGCGGGAUGACGGGCUUUGGGUUGUAAACCGCUUUCGCCUGUGACGAAGCGUGAGUGACGGUAAUGGGUAAGGAAGCAACGGCUAACUACGUG